UACGGAGGGUGCGAACGUUGCUCGGAAUCAUUGGGCGUAAAGCGCACGUAGGCGGACCGCUAAGUCGGAUGUGAAAGCCCUCGGCUUAACCGAGGAAGUGCAUUCGAAACUGACAGUCUUGAGUAUGGAAGAGGGUCGCGGAAUUCCCGGUGUAGAGGUGAAAUUCGUAGAUAUCGGGAGGAACACCAGUGGCGAAGGCGGCGACCUGGGCCAAUACUGACGCUGAGGUGCGAAAGCGUGGGGAGCAAACAGG
rnacentral:rRNA from 1 species